UCAAUCCACUGUCCUUGAAGCAGUCCCAAGUUAUUCACCUUGAUGGUACAACAUUACAAAUGGUAAGUCUACAAUAAAUGGUGUAAUAUAUCCUAGUUUGUUUUAAAAGGCUACACAUUCUUGUCAGUGCUUGCUCAAAUGUGAAAUUCUAUGUGAAAACAUAAAAAGGUACUACCCAGUCACAGAGAACUGGGGGUGGGAGAAACAUUAUUACUACCAAAUUGGCUGAAUUUUUGAAACUUAGAUAAACUGUCAGUCUGUGACAACUGCAGAGAAAUUCAAAAUGUACACUGAAGCUAUUACUGAUGUUUGUUGGUAAAUUGUGGACAAACGUUCUUUGCAUUUUGGGCUUGAGUCAAAAAAAACCCAACAAAAAGACAAAGGUUCACCAAUCAUCCCCAUGUGCGUUUCUUCAGCUAUGCGUGAUCAUAUAUAUAUGUAUUAUAUACAUUUUUCCAAAUGAAAAAAAAAUCAUCAUACAGUUCAUUAGUUAGUUUAGAGGUUGAAGUGUGAGCCACUCCCCCAGAGUAAAAGAUUUUUGUUGAGCGUUCAGAGUUGGAGAUCCAGGCUGAAUACAGGGUCAGGAACUGGAGGCCAGAUAUUCUGCUUUAUCCUUGCAACAAGAAACAGAAACUCUAAAGGGUAGCCUUGACAUUUUGAGUUUCAUUCAGUGGGCCAUUAAUUGCACUGUGACAAAAAAGUUUCUGCAUUUGUACAUUAAUCUUUGAAACAAAUGUCCAUUGUUAGCUGAAAGCAAGUUUUCUAGACAAGACAUUUUUUAACCUGAGAUAGCAUACCCUUCAGGAAGCUAGGGCCUGUUAGAUAUUUUCAAUGCAAAUUAGCCCUGUGUUUUAUAGUCAGAUGAAAUGCAAAUAAAGAACAUUUAUCCUGACGAGAAACUAUACAGAAUUAUGUUCUCAGAUUCACUCAUACUCAGUGGAAACAACUCUGCUAAUUUAGGCUAAUAUGCUGCCUUUAAGCAGAGAAAACAAAGCAUCUAUUUCCUGCUUGUACAUUGCACUUUUACUAAAAGAAACUGGAAAAAAACGACUUUGUUAUUUAGUUAUUGUGUCUUGUAAGCAAUGUAUAUACUAUCUAUUUCUGUUAACUGACUGUAGAAUAGUAGAAGCAUAUUAACUUUAUUUAGCUGCCCUCCGAGAAGUGUCGUACAUGGCCACUUUGCAUUUAUUCUCCUCAAAUAAAUAGCUUGCGUAAUUGGCAGCAUAGCUCCUAAUCAACCAGUGAAACAUGGCCUGGUGAACAGAUGGCCAGUAGAGACAGAGGGACGGUUGCAAUUACGUCACAUGAAGGCUUUUCCUGCCUUCACAUGCACUUCUCAUAUCACUCUUGAAAACAUGUACUAAUGUAGCUGAAACUACUAUCCAGACAUAACUAAAACUAAACAAAAUCGAGCCUCUCUCAUUGUCUCCUGUCUCUUUUCCUUAGACCAGCUGGGAACAUCUGCUGGUCUGGUAACAUAUAGAGGUACUACUAAACUACCAGGAUGAGUGAUGUAGAGGCUGUAUUGGGUGAUGAAGCCAUGCUGCUGCUCCACAGGCGGAGGCUCCCACACCAGGAGAACUGCAUUGUGGCUCUGUUCCUUCACCUGCAGCCUGGGACCAGCAGAGGGCACCAGAGAGCCAGGCAGAGGGGAGUGAAGAAGAGGGUGGAAUAAAGUGGUGGAAUUAACAGGAACUGAGUGAGAAGAGAGAUAAAUAUGCUGCAACAAAUGAACUAACCAGAUUCAGAUAAUUCUCUACAGAACCUGAUUUUGUAUCUAUGUUUUGUUAUAUUUCUCUUUUGCUUGUGACCCCCUAGUUUGACUGGUUGUUCAUCCAAAAAAUGUAGUAAAGAGAUGCAUUUAAUGCAUUUAAUCUGUUGAAUUGCUAUAUUUUCUGUGUGCCUUGCUCUCUAAUGUAGGCGGAGCAAAUCUUCACAUUAAAAGCACUUACAGUAAUAAAUACAUUCCACUUGA